AAAAAACUAAAUCUGUAAUUUCUUUCUUUUUAAAAAUGUAUUAAUUUAAAUUUUUAUUCUUAUAAUCAGUAUUAAUUAUAUUAAUUAUUCUGCCCAGCUCUAAUUCUGGCAUUUGUCCAGACAACAAACAGAUAGCACCUCACCUGUUAAACUCUCAGUCAGGUCCCACUGAACAGGGGCCACAAAAGACACACAGGAUCUAAGGCUUGAAUUAUUGAUCACUGGCUGAGGGGGCAAUGAAACCUGGGGUGGCUCAAUCCUGGUGACAGACUGAUAUCUAUGCAGCUCCCUUUUCUCUCUUCAGUGGAGCGUGUAACACAGAACAGGACCAGAAGGCCAGAAUAACAUCACAUAUGAUAGCUAAAGACGUGCUUUGUGUGUGAUACAAUUUCAAAUGUGAUUUAAACAUUUUGUUUGAUCUCAAAGUCAGUGACAGCCAAAAAGGCCAGAGUGAUAAAUGGAUGAAAUAGGAGAGAAGGAAACAUGCUGUCAUAAUUUACUCAACUUUAUGUAGUUACAAACCUGGAGGACGAGUAAACAAUUGCAGAAUUUUCACUUUUGGGUCAAUUAAUUCAAAUACUCCAUGAAAGGAUGAAAGGACUGAGGGAUUCAGAUUGAGAAGAGAGUAAGAGGAGCAGAGGCGCUGAAGAGAGGGAGGGAGUGAGGUAGGUCUGAUCAGUCUAGGAGCUGCAUACACACUCUUACCAUACACAAGGGAAAUGGGUCCUCAGCUACACUUCAGCAGCACCUACUCAGAGGAAUUCAGUUACCCGGCUCGAGGCAAACCUGCCCGGCCCAGACCUUCCUCUGCAUAUCGCAGGAACAAUCCUCAUCCACGGCCGGACUUCCUGAUGCCAAGAAUGCUGCAGACAGGAUAUGGCUCACGGAAACACUUUCAGACAACUACUCCUCCUACCUCUUUUCUACCUCCAGUCAGACACAUAUCAGUCCAGUAUCCAGACGUACAAACAGCACAUGGACAGUUGAUGCAGACCUCAUCACAAAAAGACUCCAAACCACCUGAGGUCUCGUCUGCAGUUUGUACACUGCCACCUGCUGCCUGGCUUCUCAAACCACAACAAACCAACUUUGCUCAUGCAACAGUCACAAACACACAAGGUGAAGGACGCAGCUGUUUCCAUGUGGUGAAGCCAUAUAAAGGUGGACACUACAUCAUCCACCCAGAGUUUGUGUCAGAAGCAAAGCACUACUAAAAAUGACUUGUUGUCAGUUUGAUAAUGUCAUUUUACAGUGUAUUUUUGAGGUACGUUUGGUGUUUGGAGAUCCUGCCUCGUAAAAUAUUCUUGGGUGCAGCUUUAUUUUAUUGACUGUAGAAUGUAUUUUUGGAUGUAAAUGUGCAUUUCACGACAAAUAAACAAGGUUUAUGAUGUGCCUGUUAAAUG
ensembl:lncRNA